rnacentral:rRNA from 1 species
AAGAAAAAUAUAGUCGAACAGACUAAAAAUUUAAACUUCUACACCCAAAAAUUUAUCUUAAUCCAACAUCGAGGUCGCAAACUUUAUUAUCGAUUUGAACUCUCCAAAAAAAUUACG